ensembl:lncRNA
CCCGGGCUUCCUGGCGGGCGCUGCGUCCGCCUCGCGUGCCGGGCCGGCCGCCUAAUCCCGCGAGGAAUCCUUGAUUCCUCCCGGCACCCGCCGCCAACUUGAGCCCGAGCGACUAAUGCACUCAUUUUAACGCCGAAAAGUACCCAGCUCCGCUGUUGUAAGGCAAAGAGCUCGGGCGGCGGGACAAGGGCGAAGGGGAACGCGGACGAGAAGUCACGAGUCGCCUCCGCGGACAGUUCUCGGCUUCCUGAGCGGCACCGACGCUUCCUCGCCGCCUGCCUUGCCCAGGCAACCACAGCAGCCUGGCGGCCUUGCGCCCUACCGGUGUUGUGCCCCGGGAUGAAGGUCCCGCGCCCUCCACCCCCAGUACCCUACCGCAGCCCUUUCUGCCGGGAACUCGGGGCGCACGGGAGACCACCUUAGGAAUAGGAAUAUAAUAUGUACAUCUUUGCGUACAUGUAAAACCUGCUCCUCAUCUGAACUUUUAGAAGAAAUCUCCUGAGAGGAAAGGAGUCACCAUAAAAUGAUAACAACACAGAUUGUCUUACUGAGCUCACCUGAUUGUUUGAAGCCCAAAGAGG